AACGACUCUCGGCAACGGAUAUCUCGGCUCUUGCAUCGAUGAAGAACGUAGCGAAAUGCGAUACUUGGUGUGAAUUGCAGAAUCCCGUGAACCAUCGAGUCUUUGAACGCAAGUUGCGCCCGAAGCCAUUAGGCCGAGGGCACGCCUGCCUGGGUGUC
rnacentral:rRNA from 1 species